GUGAGUAUAGCUCAGUGGUAGAGCACAUGCUUAGCAUGCAUGAGGUCCUGGGUUCAAUCCCCAGUAGGUCCA
rnacentral:tRNA from 1 species